AGUCGAGGGGUAUAUACUUUCGGGUAUAGAGACCGGCGCACGGGUGCGUAACGCGUAUGCAAUCUACCUUUUACAGGGGAAUAGCCCAGAGAAAUUUGGAUUAAUGCCCCAUAGUAUAUUCGAAUGGCAUCAUUUGAUUAUUAAAGUUCCAACGGUAAAAGAUGAGCAUGCGUCCCAUUAGUUAGUUGGUAAGGUAACGGCUUACCAAGACGAUGAUGGGUAGGGGUCCUGAGAGGGAGAUCCCCCACACUGGUACUGAGACACGGACCAGACUCCUACGGGAGGCAGCAGUGAGGAAUAUUGGACAAUGGGCGCAAGCCUGAUCCAGCCAUGCCGCGUGCAGGAAGAAGCAUCUAUGGUGUGUAAACUGCUUUUAUACAGGAAGAAACACUCCCUCGUGAGGGAGCUUGACGGUACUGUAAGAAUAAGGACCGGCUAACUCCGUGCCAGCAGCCGCGGUAAUACGGAGGGUCCGAGCGUUAUCCGGAAUCAUUGGGUUUAAAGGGUCCGUAGGCGGUUUAAUAAGUCAGUGGUGAAAUCUGGUCGCUCAACGAUCAAACGGCCAUUGAUACUGUUAGACUUGAAUUACUGGGAAGUAACUAGAAUAUGUAGUGUAGCGGUGAAAUGCUUAGAUAUUACAUGGAAUACCAAUUGCGAAGGCAGGUUACUACCAGUGGAUUGACGCUGAUGGACGAAAGCGUGGGGAGCGAACAGGAUUAGAUACCCUGGUAGUCCACGCCGUAAACGAUGGAUACUAGCUGUUGGGGGCAACCUCAGUGGCUAAG
rnacentral:rRNA from 1 species